UACGGAGGGAGCUAGCGUUGUUCGGAAUUACUGGGCGUAAAGCGCACGUAGGCGGCUUUGCAAGUCAGAGGUGAAAGCCCGGGGCUCAACCCCGGAAUUGCCUUUGAGACUGCAUCGCUAGAAUUGUGGAGAGGUAAGUGGAAUUCCGAGUGUAGAGGUGAAAUUCGUAGAUAUUCGGAAGAACACCAGUGGCGAAGGCGACUUACUGGACACAUAUUGACGCUGAGGUGCGAAAGCGUGGGGAGCAAACCGG
rnacentral:rRNA from 1 species